rnacentral:rRNA from 1 species
UACGGGGGGAGCAGGCGUUGUUCGGAUUUACUGGGCGUAAAGGGCGCGUAGGCGGCGUAACAAGUCACUUGUGAAAUCUCCGGGCUUAACUCGGAGCGGUCAAGUGAUACUGUUGUGCUAGAGUGCGGAAGGGGCUACUGGAAUUCUCGGUGUAGCGGUGAAAUGCGUAGAUAUCGAGAGGAACACCUGCGGCGAAGGCGGGUAGCUGGGCCGACACUGACGCUGAUGCGCGAAAGCUAGGGGAGCAAACAGG